rnacentral:rRNA from 1 species
GCCGCGGUAUUCCUGACCGUGCGAAGGUAGCAUAAUCAUUAGUCUUUUAAUUGGAGGCUUGUAUGAAUGGUUGGACGAAAAAUAAUCUGUCUCUCGGCUGAAACUUGAAUUUAACAUUUAAGUGAAAAGGCUUAAAUAUAGUAAAAAGACGAUAAGACCCUAUAAAUCUUCACACUAGCUUAAAAUCUAGGACUAAUUAUAAGUAAAAUGUUUUUAGAUUUUCUAUAGUGUUUUGUUGGGGCAACAUAGAUAGCAAGACUUAUCUGUCUACAAAAGUUACAAAAAAUUUUUGAGUGGAGAAAAUAAGAUCCUUUUUAGAGAUUUCAAGAUUAAGUUACUUUAGGGAUAACAGCGUUAUUUUACUUGAGAGUUCAUAUCGAAAGUAGAGUUUGCGACCUCGAUGUUGAAUUAAAAUUUCUCUAUGGUGCAGCCGCUAUAGGAGAGAGUCUGUUCGACUCUU